AGAGUUUGAUUCUGGCUCAGAUUGAACGCUGGCGGCGUGCUUAACACAUGCAAGUCGCGCGUGAAAGGACUUCGGUCCGAGUAAAGCGGCGCACGGGUGAGUAACGCGUGGAUGAUCUACCCAUGAGUUAGGAAUAACGGCUGGAAACGGUCGCUAAUACCAAAUACGCUCCGAUUUCAACUUCGGGGGAAAGGUGGCCUCUGCUUGCAAGCUACUGCUCAUGGAUGAGUCCGCGUCCCAUUAGCUAGUUGGUGGGGUAACGGCCCACCAAGGCGACGAUGGGUAGCCGGUCUGAGAGGAUGACCGGCCACACUGGGACUGGAACACGGCCCAGACUCCUACGGGAGGCAGCAGUGGGGAAUAUUGCGCAAUGGGCGAAAGCCUGACGCAGCGACGCCGCGUGAGGGAUGAAGGUCCUCGGAUCGUAAACCUCUGUCAGGAGGGAAGAACCGCCACGGUGCUAAUCAGCCGUGGUCUGACGGUACCUCCAAAGGAAGCACCGGCUAACUCCGUGCCAGCCGCCGC
rnacentral:rRNA from 1 species